GAGUUUGAUCCUGGCUCAGGACGAACGCUGGCGGCGUGCUUAACACAUGCAAGUCGAGCGGAAAGGCCCUUUCGGGGGUACUCGAGCGGCGAACGGGUGAGUAACACGUGAGUAACCUGCCCUGGACUUUGGGAUAACCCUCGGAAACGGGGGCUAAUACCGGAUAUGACCAGCUGCCGCAUGGUGGUGGGUGGAAAGUUUUUCGGUCUGGGAUGGGCUCGCGGCCUAUCAGCUUGUUGGUGGGGUGAUGGCCUACCAAGGCGACGACGGGGUAGCCGGCCUGAGAGGGUGUCCGGCCACACUGGGACUGAGAUACGGCCCAGACUCCUACGGGAGGCAGCAGUGGGGGAAUAUUGCACAAUGGGCGCAAGCCUGAUGCAGCGACGCCGCGUGAGGGAUGAC
rnacentral:rRNA from 1 species